GAACUGUUCCCCUAAAAGAUGCAGCCUGGUUGUUUAUGAGUACGCACGGCGUCUUCAGUGGGCAAGCCUCCACGCUGGGUGAGGAGCCUGCCUCUGAAUCUCAGCACACCCCGCCCUGCCAGCCAACCUGCUGUGGCCAAAGGGAGGACUCGUGCCUGCUGUGGACUGUCCUGGACUCUGCUUCCAGCAGCCAGAAAGAACACAGGACUCUACCGGGAGAAGGCAGGAGAACAUCUAACUAGAAGGGAUGCUCAGAGGGCUUCUGGGGAUUCGAGCACCUCGGGAUGGAUGCAGAAACCAGCAGCUGGAGGAUACAGGUGUGUCUAAGAGACUGGUGAGUGAGGUGAGUGGGAGCUGAAGGAGGGAUGCUGGCCCCGUAACAAGCAAGACUUCUGUAUUAGCCUCCCCUCCCUUCCUGGCCACCCUGUGUGUACAUACAUUCUUAUU
rnacentral:lncRNA from 1 species